rnacentral:tRNA from 1 species
GGGGAUGUGGCCCAGAGGCAGAGCACUUGCAUAAUAGCAUGCAUGAGGCCCUGGGUUCGAACCCCAGUACCACCA